rnacentral:lncRNA from 10 species
CCGUUCUCCUGCCUCAGCCUCUGGAGUAGUUAGGACUACAGGCGCCCGCCACCAUGCCCGGCUAAUUUUUUGGAUUUUUAGUAGAGAUGGGGUUUCACCAUGUUAGCCAGGAUGGUCUCGAUCUUCCGACCUCGUGAUCCACCCUCCUGCGCCUCCCAAAGUGCUUGGAUUACAGGCGUGAGCCACCACGUCCAGCCUAUGGAGCUUAUUUUCUAAUGAAGAAGAGCAACAAUAAGCAGAAGCCAUCCCAGAAGAAAUCCACCUGCCUCCCUCCAGGCUACCAGGAGAUGCUUAGCACACAGGCCACCAGGCAUCAGCAGUGAGCCUGAAAAAUGUGGGUGUAUUGAAUCCAAAUAUUCAACAAAAUCACUGGGGCUCUCUGACCAUGUCUCAUCAUCUUCAAAAUGAUUGGUGAGAUUAAAGGAUCUCUGUAAAAUGAUCUCAGACAAUCAAUCCUUCUAGUCACUUGAUCUUUCUAUGGUUUUAAAGCAACUGGUUUUGGGAGUCGACCAUGAACUGACUCAGAAAAUGAUUACCAGAAGUGGGG